rnacentral:tRNA from 1 species
UUCAGAAUAGCUUAAAAUAAAGCAUUGAUUUUGUAAUUCAAAGAUAUAUUAUUGUUUCUGAAA